GUUUUUUACUAGAACAAAAAGAAGAUUGGAAAUAAAAAUAAUUUUCUAAAUGAAACAAGCCAAGAUUGUCAUCUUUCUAACCCAAAAAUCUAAACUAUUAUUCCACCCCAAAACGCUUUUCUUUUUCAGAGAGGUCGGCGGCAGUCGCAAACACAAACAAAAUCGCCCUUUCUGUUUCAUAGGAAAAGUCACGACGGUGCCGUUCAGGGAAGUCAUGGUGGUGCCGCUCAGGGAAGUCGCGAUGGUACCAACUAUGGAGAUAAGAAAAUUAUACCAAAGGCAACAAGUGAUAUAAAACUCAUAAAUGCUGACAAAAUUUUGGAAAGCAAAAACAGAACAGAGGUUGACACGAGGAAAAAGUUGAUGAUGCAUCUAGAAAACCUUUUUUGUUGGGGAAUCCGAGAGAGCGCAACAUCCGAAAUAGGCUAAACAUCAACGAUUUUAAGAGACUUAGACACCACAUCUCAACUCAAAGCUUUAAUGCAUUAGGUGUAUGGGUCAUUCUCCUUAUAUAUCAAAUAUUUCCUCCAUUCCUAGUCAAUAUGGGACUAACUACUCAUAAUUGAAUUCCAACACUUUUUGUGGUUGUUCAUCAUUGUGAAAAUCCAUUAGCUUUGAUGUUGUUAUGUUGUUGAUGUUGUUAUGUUGUUGAUCAUGGUAAAUCGUUGGGAUAUAAGAGGUCAUGGAAGUGUGUAGUUGUGAAGACAAUAAUUUGUAGGACAAUUCCAUCCCCUUAGUUGAAUAUUGUUUGAGAGCAUUC